rnacentral:rRNA from 1 species
GACGAACGCUGGCGGCGUGCUUAACACAUGCAAGUCGAACGGAAAGGCCCUGCUUUUGUGGGGUGCUCGAGUGGCGAACGGGUGAGUAACACGUGAGUAACCUGCCCUUGACUUUGGGAUAACUUCAGGAAACUGGGGCUAAUACCGGAUAGGAGCUCCUGCUGCAUGGUGGGGGUUGGAAAGUUUCGGCGGUUGGGGAUGGACUCGCGGCUUAUCAGCUUGUUGGUGGGGUAGUGGCUUACCAAGGCUUUGACGGGUAGCCGGCCUGAGAGGGUGACCGGCCACAUUGGGACUGAGAUAAGGCCCAGACUCCUACGGGAGGCAGCAGUGGGGAAUAUUGAACAAUGGGCGGAAGCCUGAUGCAGCAACGACGCGUGCGGGAUGACGGCCUUCGGGUUGUAAACCGCUUUCGCCUGUGACGAAGCGUGAGUGACGGUAAUGGGUAAAGAAGCACCGGCUAACUACGUG